AAAAUCAAAGAAACUCAUAUUUUUUUAAGUUUUCUCUUUUUUUUUUUAGAGCUGUAUGCAUGGAUUAAUAGCUUAUAGUUGCGUUAAGUAUGUUUUGAUCCUGAUAAUCAGAGUUAACACUAAUUUAACACUAAUAUUGUUUAUAAUUAACACUGGAGAAUUUAUGUAUAGGUAUAGAAGUACAUAAGAGUGUGCAAAACCAACAAACAAGCCAGGCUAGCUUGAUUAUUAGCUUUUUUUUAGUGUAGAUAAACAGCACUCUUUAUUAAUGCUGCAUAUCAUAACUUGCAUAUCAACUUUUCUUCUUUUAGUGAUUUACUUUAAAUACAAAAUAUUAUGAUAGCUCAUGAAGAUAUUAAACAGUUACAUUAUCGCCCAGCCCUAUGUUAAAUAUAUCACAGUAUUUGUCUGUUUUUUCUUUUGAUCAUUUGUCAUUUUUAGUUUUAACAGAGGAAAUUUCACACAGCUAAAACAGAUUUUGUACUGCAAAUUUUGUUCACUGUACAAGUGAGAUAUCUGUUCUCUUAUUUACUCUGUAAUUGAACAUGUGAAGAGCUUGUACAGUCCUUUUUGAAAAAAAUAUGUACAAGACUGUACUGCACUGUACUUCAUCGACUGACUUUCUGUUCAUACCAGUGUUUAAAAACUGUCAUUUUGUUUCUUUUUCAUAGUUUACAGUUAUGUGUGUAUAUUGUUAACUUUUCACCUAGUCAUAAUACCUACUGUAUUUCUGUCUGUAUUGGGUUGUGCUGUGUUUUCUUAGUUUUUUCUUUUUUUAUAUAUAUAUAUAUAUAUUUCAUGGUAUUUUGGUAUUCCAGUUUUUCUGGUCCUUUUCUCAGUCCUCUGGGAUUUCUAAAUCAUUUCUAGGCGGUAUUUUUGUUCUGUUACAGUUUAUAGCACAGCUGUAUUUGUAUUCUCGGGCUCGGGAAGAGCAGCGUUAUUGACUGUGCAUCGGGAUCCAGAAGUAAUGGACUAGAAAACAAAACGCAGUAUCUUGAACUUGAAUGCUUUUGCAUUUGCACAGCAGCAACUUUCUACAGGCAAGCAGAAGAACCUGAGUGCCAAACGCAUGUACAGUAAUGUACGGUAUUAAAAAGUACUAAACUUUUUUUUUUUUUUUUUUUUUUUUUUUUUUUUUUUCACCAUCACUUGCAUGUGCUUGUACAUUUCUACUUGUGUUCCUUUACCAGUUUUCCAAACUUUUGGUAUUUUCCAAACCUUUGGCCAAGUUGCAUUAAAAUGUAUAAUAAAAAAGUAAUUUUACAUAAAAU
rnacentral:lncRNA from 1 species